rnacentral:ncRNA from 1 species
UCGGGACUCACAGCCUCCCGGUCUUUUCAGAUAGACGGUGUCCCGUCCAAGCGCUG